GACCGCCCGAUAGGUAGGAGAUUGUCCGCAUCACGACGGUUGAAAACCGAACGGACUCAAUCUAUGUGAGUACAGUGCAGGACAACAAAUAUGUAUAGAAUGAAAAUUGACCUUUGAAUCUUCCAUUUAGACCAAAACUUCCGCAUGACAUUUUUGAGUUUAGCAAAGCCAUCUUGACUAGGAAACCUUGACCGAUUGAACCCUUGAAAAAGGUCCCAUACGGACCGAAACGUCGGGAAAAAUCAUAAA